CUGUGACCCAUGGCAAGGACUGAGACUCAGUCUAGAGGGGAGGAGAGGCUUCUCACCAAGAUCUCAUUUCUCGCUCAAAAAGGUGACGGAUAUUCCAAAAGUAAUCCCAACACUGUCCACACAGCCAGCACCUAGGAAAAUAUACUCCCCUCCAGAGUGAAAGGCCACUGCAUGAAGGAAAACACCACAGAGCUUUACGGAGUGAUGAAAGGUCACACUUGCACCUACAAAGAGACAAUAUUCCGUGGUGGAGAGAGGAAAAACUUGAAACUGCAAUGAAUAGUCCAGUAAAGGAAAUGAACAGGCAAUUCCCAGGAGAAGGACUACAGAUGGCUGAUAAACAUAUGAGAUGCUCAGCCCAACUCAACCUAACUAUAAUGAGGAAACUACAAAUUAAAAACACAUGAUGUGCAGUGUAUUGCUUUUGCCCGUAAGACAAGCAAGGAUGAAAAAGACUGAUAGUACCCGGUGCUAGUGAGGGUGUAAGGAAGUGAGUACUUUUACACUCUCUUG